UACGUAGGGUGCAAGCGUUGUCCGGAAUUAUUGGGCGUAAAGAGCUCGUAGGCGGUUCGUCGCGUCGGCUGUGAAAUCCCGAGGCUCAACCUCGGGUCUGCAGUCGAUACGGGCGGACUGGAGUUCGGCAGGGGAGACUGGAAUUCCUGGUGUAGCGGUGAAAUGCGUAGAUAUCAAGAGGAACACCAGUGGCGAAGGCGAGUCCCUGGACGAUACCUGACACUGAGGCACGAAAGCCAAGGGAGCAAACAGG
rnacentral:rRNA from 1 species